AGAGUUUGAUCAUGGCUCAGGAUGAACGCUAGCUACAGGCUUAACACAUGCAAGUCGAGGGGCAGCAUGGUCUUAGCUUGCUAAGGCCGAUGGCGACCGGCGCACGGGUGAGUAACACGUAUCCAACCUGCCGUCUACUCUUGGACAGCCUUCUGAAAAGGAAGAUUAAUACAAGAUGGCAUCAUGAGUUCACAUGUUCACAUGAUUAAAGGUUUUCCGGUAGACGAUGGGGAUGCGUUCCAUUAGAUAGUAGGCGGGGUAACGGCCCACCAAGGCAACGAUCAGUAGGGGUUCUGAGAGGAAGGUCCCCCACAUUGGAACUGAGACACGGUCCAAACUCCUACGGGAGGCAGCA
rnacentral:rRNA from 1 species